rnacentral:rRNA from 1 species
UACGAAGGGGGCUAGCGUUGUUCGGAAUUACUGGGCGUAAAGCGUGCGCAGGCGGCUUCUCAAGUCAGGGGUGAAAGCCCAGAGCUCAACUCUGGAAUUGCCUUUGAGACUGAGUGGCUUGAGUACGAGAGAGGUGAGUGGAAUUCCCAGUGUAGAGGUGAAAUUCGUAGAUAUUGGGAAGAACACCGGUGGCGAGGGCGGCUCACUGGCUCGUAACUGACGCUCAUGCACGACAGCGUGGGGAUCAAACAGG